CCGUUUUGCAGGAGGCUGAGAAGGAAUUGAUUCCAGAAAGAUACCACCACUCCUCAGUUAUGAAACCCAAGUGAGACCACAGUAUCCUGACUUCCAGCCUAGAGCUAUCUCUGAUUCAGUAAAUCUCUUCGCAGCAGCAUAUACACUGGGAACGGGAACUCUCACAGGACACACAUACUCAUGAUUGCCAAUAAUAUCUGUGGUCCUUAGCUAUAACGUACUCAACUUGAGGGUGGUGGAAGAUCUCCAUGAAUACUGAAGUUUGAAUUUUAGCUCCAGAACUUAUUUGCUGUGUGUGAACUUGGGUAAGUUUCUCUAUUUCUUUUAACCUCGAUUUCCACAUCUAUUAAGAAAUUACAAAUCACAUACAAAGAUUAUAAAAACAAAAUGAGACAGUGCAUAUAAGCACAGCAUUGCAUUUUAGAAAUGUAUUCUAAAAAUAGCACCUACCAGAUAUUAUAUUAGUUUGUACCCAGGAUACUUUUGAUUGCAAGUACAUAUUUUGUCCCUGUAGCUUGACCUUUGUAAGGGCAUGAAUUUUUGUAUUA
rnacentral:lncRNA from 1 species